rnacentral:rRNA from 1 species
UACGGAGGGGACUAGCGUUGUUCGGAAUUACUGGGCGUAAAGCGCACGUAGGCGGAUUUGUAAGUCAGGGGUGAAAGCCCAGGGCUCAACCCUGGAAUUGCCUUCGAUACUGUCUGGCUAGAGACCGGAAGAGGUAAGUGGAACUGCGAGUGUAGAGGUGAAAUUCGUAGAUAUUCGCAAGAACACCAGUGGCGAAGGCGGCUUACUGGUCCGGUUCUGACGCUGAGGCGCGAAAGCGUGGGGAGCAAACAGG